rnacentral:rRNA from 1 species
AGUGAACGCUGGCGGCAGGCCUAACACAUGCAAGUCGAACGGCAGCACAGCAGUAGCAAUACUGUGGGUGGCGAGUGGAGGACGGGUGAGGAAUACAUCGGAAUCUACCUUGUCGUGGGGGAUAACGUAGGGAAACUUACGCUAAUACCGCAUACGAACUAUGGUUGAAAGCGGCGGACCGCAAGGCGUCGCGCGAUUGGAUGAGCCGAUGUCCGAUUAGCUAGUUGGCGGGGUAAAGGCCACCAAGGCGACGAUCGGUAGCUGGUCUGAGAGGAUGAUCAGCCACACUGGAACUGAGACACGGUCCAGACUCCUACGGGAGGCAGCAGUGGGGAAUAUUGGACAAUGGGCGCAAGCCUGAUCCAGCCAUGCCGCGUGUGUGAAGAAGGCCUCGGUU